rnacentral:rRNA from 1 species
UUUUGGACAAGCAUUAAGGGCAUAUGGUGGAUGCCUAGGUAGAAGUAGGCGAUGAAGGACGUGGCUGGCUGCGAUAAGCCUCGGGAAGCCGUCAAGCUGGCGUAGAUCCGGGGAUUUCCGAAUGGGGUAACCCAGGUCCGGUAAACCGGGCCUAUCCCGAAAGGGAGGCAAACCCAGGGAAUUGAAACAUCUUAGUACCUGGAGGAAGAGAAAAUCCGUAAGGAUGAUUUCCUCAGUAGCGGCGAGCGAAAGGGAAAGAGCCUAAACCGACCUGUGUGUUAAAGCCCGUUCGCGUUGCACAGGCGGGGUUGUAGGACUCGUCCGUAGUCUAGUUCGGAUGGAUUGGAAGAGUUACAAAAUCGAAUUCUAGCUGAAUAAUCCUGGAAAGAUUAACCACAGAAGGUGAUAGUCCUGUAAGCGAAAGAGUUCGAUCUCUUCUGGGCGAGUUCCUAAGUACCACGGGACACGUUAACCUUGUGGGAAUCUAUGUUGUCCACGACAUAAGGCUAAAUACUCUCUGGUGACCGAUAGUGCACUAGUACCGUGAGGGAAAGGUGAAAAGAACCCCGGGAGGGGAGUGAAAUAGAAC